rnacentral:rRNA from 1 species
AUUGAACGCUGGCGGCAUGCCUUACACAUGCAAGUCGAACGGCAGCACGGGAGCAAUCCUGGUGGCGAGUGGCGAACGGGUGAGUAAUAUAUCGGAACGUGCCCAGUAGUGGGGGAUAACUGCUCGAAAGAGCAGCUAAUACCGCACACGACCUGAGGGUGAAAGGGGGGGAUCGCAAGACCUCUCGCUAUUGGAGCGGCCGAGAUCAGAUUAGCUAGUUGGUGGGGUAAAGGCCUACCAAGGCAACGAUCUGUAGUUGGUCUGAGAGGACGACCAGCCACACUGGGACUGAGACACGGCCCAGACUCCUACGGGAGGCAGCAGUGGGGAAUUUUGGGCAAUGGGCGCAAGCCUGAUCCAGCAAUGCCGCGUGCAGGAAGAAGGCCUUCGGGUUGUAAACUGCUUUUGUCAGGGAAGAAAUCCUCUAGGUUAAUACCCUUGGGGGGAUGACGGUACCUGAAGAAUAAGCACCGGCUAACUACGUGCCAGCCGCCGCCGUAACAC